CGUGGUCUGAUGAACCGGUUUUUCACCCUCGGCACCCAGGGGAAGCCGGUCCGAAUCCGGCGCUGACCCGCAACCGUAGAUCCGCCCCCGGGCGGAUGAGCCGGAAUGCCUGGACCGGGGGUCUGUUCUCG
rnacentral:ncRNA from 2 species